CAUACAUAUUUUUAACACACACCAAACCUUUGCACAAAACAGAAAGCAAGUAAUAAGCAAUCAAACUAGGAAUUCUUUUGAGUUGAUCAAAUGGCUUCAAUGAGGAGACACCAAACCAUUCCUUUGCACAAAACAGAAAGCAAGUACUAAGCAAUCAAACUAGGAAAAUUUUUGGGUUGAUCAAAUGGCUUCAAUGACAAUGACAACCUCCUUGGCCGGCGGAUCCGUCGCGGCCUUGACCAAAGUCCCGGCCGCGAACCGCCGCGGGGUUGUCAUGGUGAAGGCAAGCUCAAAGGUACCAUUUGAGGGAGAAAAUGUUGUAAUGAGCAACAAGAAAGAGAGCAACAACAGUGGCCGGAGAGAGUUGUUCUUCGCCAUGGCGGCCGUUGCCGCUAGCUCAGUGGCAAAGGCCGCCAUGGCCGACUAAGGCUGUAUCCGGUUCCGUUCCGAUUCUAUUUGGGUCUGGCGGUUCCGGUUCUGGCGGUUCCGGUUCCGCGGUUCUGGCGGUUCCAGAGCCGGAACCGCUACCAUACGAUUCGGGAACCGCGGUUCCGGCGGUUCCAAACGGUUCCCGGCAGUUCCAUUUUUUUUAAAAAAAAAAAAAAAAUCAAUAUCUUGUAUAGUACUCAUUAAUAUAUUGUAGAAUAUAUUUUAUAUGGUGUACUAUGUUAUUAGUAUAGUAUAUAUUGNN
rnacentral:lncRNA from 1 species